ACGCUAGCUACAGGCCUAACACAUGCAAGUCGAGGGGCAUCAGGAAGAAAGCUUGCUUUCUUUGCUGGCGACCGGCGCACGGGUGAGUAACACGUAUCCAACCUGCCCUUUACUCGGGGAUAGCCUUUCGAAAGAAAGAUUAAUACCCGAUGGCAUAAUGAUUCCGCAUGGUUUCAUUAUUAAAGGAUUCCGGUAAAGGAUGGGGAUGCGUUCCAUUAGGUUGUUGGUGAGGUAACGGCUCACCAAGCCUUCGAUGGAUAGGGGUUCUGAGAGGAAGGUCCCCCACAUUGGAACUGAGACACGGUCCAAACUCCUACGGGAGGCAGCAGUGAGGAAUAUUGGUCAAUGGGCGCUAGCCUGAACCAGCCAAGUAGCGUGAAGGAUGAAGGCUCUAUGGGUCGUAAACUUCUUUUAUAUAAGAAUAAAGUGCAGUAUGUAUACUGUUUUGUAUGUAUUAUAUGAAUAAGGAUCGGCUAACUCCGUGCCAGCAGCCGCGGUAAUACGGAGGAUCCGAGCGUUAUCCGGAUUUAUUGGGUUUAAAGGGAGCGUAGGUGGACUGGUAAGUCAGUUGUGAAAGUUUGCGGCUCAACCGUAAAAUUGCAGUUGAUACUGUCAGUCUUGAGUACAGUAGAGGUGGGCGGAAUUCGUGGUGUAGCGGUGAAAUGCUUAGAUAUCACGAAGAACUCCGAUUGCGAAGGCAGCUCACUGGACUGCAACUGACACUGAUGCUCGAAAGUGUGGGUACCAAACAGGAUUAGAUACCCUGGUAGUCCACACAGUAAACGAUGAAUACUCGCUGUUUGCGAUAUACAGUAAGCGGCCAAGCGAAAGCAUUAAGUAUUCCACCUGGGGAGUACGCCGGCAACGGUGAAACUCAAAGGAAUUGACGGGGGCCCGCACAAGCGGAGGAACAUGUGGUUUAAUUCGAUGAUACGCGAGGAACCUUACCCGGGCUUAAAUUGCAGUGGAAUGAUGUGGAAACAUGUCAGUGAGCAAUCACCGCUGUGAAGGUGCUGCAUGGUUGUCGUCAGCUCGUGCCGUGAGGUGUCGGCUUAAGUGCCAUAACGAGCGCAACCCUUAUCUUUAGUUACUAACAGGUUAUGCUGAGGACUCUAGAGAGACUGCCGUCGUAAGAUGUGAGGAAGGUGGGGAUGACGUCAAAUCAGCACGGCCCUUACGUCCGGGGCUACACACGUGUUACAAUGGGGGGUACAGAAGGCAGCUAGCGGGUGACCGUAUGCUAAUCCCAAAAGCCUCUCUCAGUUCGGAUCGAAGUCUGCAACCCGACUUCGUGAAGCUGGAUUCGCUAGUAAUCGCGCAUCAGCCACGGCGCGGUGAAUACGUUCCCGGGCCUUGUACACACCGCCCGUCAAGCCAUGGGAGCCGGGGGUACAAGAAGUACGUA
rnacentral:rRNA from 1 species